UACAAUUACAAUAUUGGUUUUGUCUCCACCAAAUUAAUCAAUAAAUUCAUGUCAUUAAGUACAAAAUACUACUAUUCUUCCUCUACAUCUUCUACCUUUUAGCUUUUAGUGUAUCUCAUUCUCAUACCUGGACUUUUGAGUAAUCUAGUUUCCAUGUCAAAACAUACUACUAAGAGCAUUUCUGAUGCAACCAUAUGAAAUGGUUUCUAGUAGUUGUCGUCAUUAGACAUUGAAGUCCCUGUGUGUCACAUAAAGUUAAUCCAUAAACGUCUAUAACAACUUAAAAACUAUCUUAAAAUCUCUAAUGCAAUCUUCUAGUAUGGGAGUUAUGUGGCAUAUUCCUAUUCGAUGAUGAGAUGCUUUUGACUAACACAUUUCUAAAAUGAAUAGCAAUGGAGCCAAUGUAUAAGAGACUGUAUAGAUGAAGACAGGGCUACAUUUUUCUGCAACAUAGGACUGAUAAUGUAGUGUGCAUUAUGUGGCAUACCUAAGCAUGCAUACAUGGCAUUCCCCCCAUCUUCCACACUUGCUUUUAAAAUGCUCUAAGAAGUAAGAAUCCUCAUCACACCUUAGUCUAGAUCGAAUGGAGUACAACACCAUCUAUUAGAAAGUUUUGAAAUAUGGUAGAGAGAUCGCACAGUUGUUACUUCCAAGGAUGAUGAAUUCAUGCACAAAUACAGUUCUAUAAGAUGAUUUAAUUUACCAUGUGUAGAUAGAUUCAACAUAGGCAUAUUACAACAGGUGUUAUCUGAGUACACAAAACAAGAAAGUGUUGCGUUGAUCAAUAAACUAUAACUCAGAUACAUAUUACCUUGGUAAAGACUUUGUAAGUAGAAACAAGUAAUCAGACAAUGUGUUGAAUUCAAAUAUAAUGGCAUGUGUGUUAAGAUGCAUGCAUAAAUGUUUUUUAGUACACCUAACAACCAUGUCGAUAUUUAUAUUUCAUAGUAUUAUAGAUUGAUUAAGAUAAGGUAAGACAAUACUUGCUAAUGGUUAAAAAUGUUGGAGAAAGUGUUACAGAGUUUAAGCCAAAAAAGUCUACAAUUCGACAUUACUUAUUACACUCCUAAUUAUCUUAGUGACACUGUAUUAUCUAGACAACCAUUUCCAAUAUAUCAUCAUCAUCAUCGAGGUGGAAAACUUCGUAUUAUAUUUAUAAAGUACCAUCAACUUAUCUCACUACCUUGGUUAUAAAGUUGGUGGCAGGGGAGGUAACAACUAACAAAAACAUCAAUAGUGAAGUAAGAUUCAAGUAUGGCAGCUGAUCCAGUUGAGAAAGAUAACAUAGAUGAAGCAAAGGUAGAGAUAGAUAUGACAGACUCAGUGCAUGUUCUGAAAGAGAGGAAGGUCUCUUGCGCUACACUUCGGCGUGUAGACUCCCUUAACUUGGAGGCUGGUAUAGUUUCUAAUGUCUCAAGUCACAAUGUCAAGGUCUGAACUACUUUAACUUGAUUGUUGUCAACUAGUCGAAUCCCAGCUAGGUCUAAUCUAUGUAACAAGUGAGAAUGUUUUGUUUUGUGUAUAUCAGGUUGGUUUGAAAACCACACUGUUCUUGGCAUUCCAGAGCAUUGGUGUAAUAUAUGGUGACAUAGGGACAUCUCCACUUUAUGUGUUUGCGAGCACUUUCCCUAAUGGAAUCAAGAACAACAAUGACAUUUUGGGUGUUUUGUCUCUAAUUAUUUACACAAUCCUUCUUUCACCCAUGAUAAAAUAUAUGUUUGUUGUUCUGAAAGCAAAUGAUAAUGGUGAUGGUAAGUAAAUCUUGUAUAAUGCAACAGAAAAAAAUGGUAGUCUUUGUAGCGUUUAUAAACAUAAUUGACCCACUUGGUAAUUCUACUGUUGUAGGGGGAACAUUCGCACUCUACUCAAAGAUAUGCCGCUAUGCAAAGAUAAGCUUAAUUCCGAAUCAGCAAGCAGAGGACACAGAACUUUCGAAUUACAGAAUGGAGUUACCAUCGAAUCAGUCGAGAAGAGCUCAAAAGAUAAAAGAUAAGUUGGAGAACAGUCAUGUGGCUAAACUCUUUCUCUUGCUUAUCACAAUUCUAGGAGUAUCCUUAGUGAUUGGAGAUGGAAUUUUGACUCCAUGUAUUUCAGGUGACCUAUAUACGUGUUUAUUUACAAAUGUUUUGAAUCACCUAUGAAUGUCAUUGCAUUGGAGACUUGUAUUCAUCUAGACUACAACUUGUUGUAGGAAGUAAUUUGGUGAUAUUGUUUGUCUUACAGUGCUUUCUGCAGUGAGUGGGCUCAAGCGGUCGGCAAAGUCCCUUAAUCAAGGUACCUGUACAACAAAAACAGAAACAUUGAUCUUCCCGUUAUGACAUAUAUAGUAAACAUACAUGCAUGAUUACAGUAGAAUUAAUCUCAUGUACAUCUGCUAUUGAGACUUGACUAAACCAUUCUCUAUAAUUUUGAUAUUACAGAUGCCAUUGUUGGAAUUUCUGUAGCUAUCUUGAUCCUCCUCUUUUCUGUCCAACGGUUUGGCACUGAUAAAGUUGGCUAUUCAUUUGCCCCCAUUAUUUUCUUGUGGUUUUCUUUUAUUAGCGGCAUUGGUCUCUACAACUUAUUCAAGUAUGACUUCGGUGUAUUACGUGCCUUCAAUCCAAUAUAUAUUAUAGAUUACUUCAAGAGAAAUGGUAAGGAAGCAUGGAUAUCUCUUGGUGGAGUUGUAUUAUGCAUUACAGGUUAGUACUACAUACUAGUUUGAAGGAUGCAGUUGACUAUGUCUUACUAUGGAGCUAUUUCACUAAUGUAUAUAAUUGGAACAGGCACUGAAGCAAUGUUCGCAGAUCUUGGUCACUUUUCUGUGCGAUCAGUUCAAGUAAGUAGAGCAAACACUUGUGGCGAAAUUUCAAUAAAUUACUGACAUAUCCCAAAAUCUCAACAAAGGGGUAACUUGAUUUUGUUCUGACACCUCGUUCAAAAUAGCUCUGUUUAUAAUAAUUGCAAGUAUACUGGUAUAUAUAUAUGUAUCUUGUCACACAUGAAUAAUGGAAACAUUUUCAAAACAAACCAAGUUGAACUUUCAUAAAUAUCAUUUGUUUGAGCAACAACAUGUAUGACUCAAAGCAGGGAUUUACUUUACCAUGAACUUGCAGAUUAGUUUCACUGGAAUCGUAUUCCCUGCAAUACUUUGUGCCUAUUCAGGACAAGCAGCAUACCUCACGGAGUUCCCACAUCAUGUUCACGAUACUUUCUAUGAAUCAAUCCCAGGUCUGUAAAACCACCUAUAAUGAAAAUACAGAAAAAAAGUCAUUAUUUAUUACAUUUGAAGUUGAUCGUAAGUUUACUUUACUAAUAAUUGCACUAAUCAGCAGAUCCUAUCUACUGGCCAACAUUUGUUGUGGCUGUUUGUGCAUCCAUUAUUGCCAGCCAAGCUAUGAUAUCUGGCGCAUUCGCAAUCAUAUCUCAGUCCCUACGUCUAGGCUGUUUUCCAAGGGUUAAAGUGGUACAUACUUCAGCUAAGUACGAAGGACAAGUUUACAUCCCUGAAAUAAACUUCAUGAUAAUGAUUGCCUGUGUUCUCGUCACAAUAAGCUUUCGGACCACAGCACAGAUUGGCAAUGCAUAUGGUAAGCUAUUUAUCCAUUAAGGUUUUACAAGAAUAUAUGCAGCCAGAUUUUGAUGGAUUUUGACACAUUCAUGCCAUCACUUUUAACACUAUGCUCUGCAAUCAUUUAUAUCCUAUGAAUCCCAACUAUAUACAAUGCUACAUAAUAAUUCAAACUAUGAAUCCGCAAAGAAAUAGAAGACCUAGAGAUUGUUUGGUUAAGUAAAGCAUUACAACAAACUACUUUAAACAGACUUACAGUAAAACACCCUUUCAAAUAAGACAACCUAUCUGAAUAUUUGAAUGAUACACCUUACUUGGACGAUUUGUGUAGGCAUUGCAGUGGUAGGAGCUGAGACAAUUACUACAUGUAUGGUUACACUCAUAAUGCUUAUCAUCUGGAAAACUAGCAUAUGGAGGAUCAUUUUGUUCUUCGUUGUAUUGGGUACUAUGGAGGCCACAUAUCUGACGGCAGUCCUAUAUAAGUUCACACAAGGUGGUUAUCUUCCACUGGCAAUUUCAUUUUUCGUGACAAUAAUAAUGGGUCUUUGGCAUUAUGUACACAAAGAAAGAUACAUGUUUGAGCUCAGGAACAAGGUUUCUAGCGAUUUCAUGAGAGAUCUGACCAUGAAUCCUAAUAUAAAAAGGAUACCUGGAAUUGGUUUUCUAUACUCUGAGCUCGUACAAGGCAUCCCACCUAUAUUUCCGCACUUCAUCUCAAAUAUUCCAUCUGUCCAUUCUGUGCUAGUGUUUGUCUCAAUAAAGUAUAUUCCAAUCAGUAAGGUAGCAAUGGAGGAGCGUUUUCUCUUCCGACAAGUUGAGCCAAGAGAUUACCGGAUGUUUCGUUGUGUUGUCCGCUAUGGAUAUAAAGAUUCUAUGGAAGGACCUGAUGAGUUUGAGUUCCAGCUAAUUGAACAUUUGAAAGAAUUCAUCCGCCAGGAACACUACAUCCUUGAAACUGGUCCCUCUGAACUACUAACUGCUCAACAGCUCAAUGUUGAGCGCCUCUCGUGUUCUGGUCAAUUAUCAGAUGAUGUAAAGGUAGAUGAACCAGCUCCAUCCAGAGUACACAAUGAGGAAUCUUUAGAACAGAGUACUACUACUCGAGCGUUUUCAGAACCAAACCAUCUAGCCACAUUUAAUGGAUCAACAAAUUCCCCUAGCAGAAUCAUCAAUGGGCCCACCCAAGGAGCCGAAGAUGAGAUUCAGUUCAUCCAAAAAGCAAUGGAAAAGGGAGUGGUAUAUCUUUUAGGAGAAACAGAAGUGGGUGCAGAACAGAAGUCCUCAUGGGUCAAGAAGAUAGCAGUUAAUUAUAUGUAUGAUUUCUUAAGGAGGAACUUUAGACAAGGAGAAAAAAUAAUGUCAAUUCCUCGGAGCAGACUUCUACGAGUUGGUAUGGCGUACGAAAUAUGAGAGAUGGGUGUUUUUAUGUUGAUGCCCAAAACUACUGUAAUUGUAUAAACAUGGAGAAGCGUAUGAGUCCUUUGUAAUUGUAUAAAAAUUUGAAGUUAAAAUAAGGCACUGUACUCCUCUUUUCAGUUCAAGCAGUCUUAACAUCACAUUUAUUUACUACUGGAAUCGAUUCAAAAAAUUGUCAGACAAAAACUGGAAAUCCCUUGUUUGUUAUCGGUGACUGAGAUACUAGAUCGUGUAUCACAAACCACAAUAACCUUCUAAUUCUAGCAUAGAAAGAUGUUGAAGCACAAUUACCUGACCUAAAAGGUAGAAUACUGACAAAGUCCUGACAUUGGUGAAGACUGAAACGUUACACUGCCUCCAUUCAAUUUCAAACAGGCAUGCAUUCCCUCUCCAUCAGCAAACUGAAGUAGCAGAAAAUAGCACUAGCAGUUGAAUUUCCAUGAUGUUCUUUAAGAAUUUUACUCCAAAACUUUCACCAAAAUACUCUCCUUCUAAAUCCUCUAACAAAUCCCCUGAAUCCGCCCCAUCUUCAAACUGCCAUUUCACACGAAACCCUACAGAUUCUUUGGCUAGUUACAAUGUGGUUUGUGCAAACCAAUGAAAAUGGAUUUUUAAUAAUGGGUUUCCUGAUGUGCGAUGCCAGAGACAAAUUACUAGUCACAGAUAGUGAAAUCACCCAUACAAAAAAAAACUUUUGGAUACAACCUUUUAUGGUCUGGUGCUCAUGUAACGGAAAUACUCAAUGGCGGCAUAAAAGUAUCAAAAAGUGCACGAAAAUCUUGCAGAAAUCGAGCUUGGAAAGUUAUAUGUUGUAUACAAUUUUAGAUUGUUUGGUGCUCAUGCUAUGGUAGAAGCCUUACUACUGAAUGAUGCUAUAACAUUCGCCAAAAAAUAAUAAUAAUAACAUCAAAAUCCUAAAGCAGAAAGUUUUCACAGAGUUCCAAUAAAUAACGAGCUUACCGUAUGCAUUUUUAAUCUGUGCUGACUGGAAGCUUAUUGAGACAAUAAUAUGCAAUUACGAGCAUGGAGAGCUCUGCCGUGCUACUCAGCUGAAUAUGCCACCUUCUUACUUGAUAAACAGCCUACAUUAAAAAUUGCACACAGAAUGAUCUUAGUGACAUGCAUUACACAAACAAUUACAAUACAUAAUUGUCACACUAUUGUGUACAUAAAUUAAUUUGGCAGAAGGCAACUACGAUAUCUGCAUCCCAUAUGGUGAAGAAGCUAGAAUUCAAGAAUAAGCGAGGGAAAUAGCUCAAAUGGUGGAUAAAAUCUACAGACCAGAGCAUACUCUGAAAGAGCGAAAGGUCUGGUGGGCCAGCUUUGGCAUGUAGGCUCUCUUAACUCGGGGAUGCUGUUAAGUUCUUCUAUACCAUCUUAUGUCUAAUCUUCAAAGUUCCAACUCAUUAAAAUGGUUAUACACCAGUUGAUUGUCUUUCUAAGGUACUCAUGUAUAUAGGGUUUUUAUUACUAAAUAUAAAAAUGGGGUCGCUUACUUUUUACUGAAAGCUGCUUAACUAAACUUGAUUAAUUAACCAGACUGAUUCUCAUCUACAUCAUCAAGCAAUUCUAAGAGAAACCCAAAAAAAUAGCAGGAGGAUGUUCAUAUUCUGUUGACAGUGACAAUUGAAAAGGCAAUGCAAGACAUUGUUGAAGAAAUUACAGCAGACAAAACUCACAAAGAUCUAUUGGCCUAUUGGGAGGAGUUUAUACAUUUUUAUUUCCAUUUUUAAUAAUGAUAUUAAUGCUUUGAAUUGGGGAUACUGUAUAAUCGGAACCACUGACAGAUAAUCAACAAUGGGUGCUAUUAAUAAAAACAACAAACUCUAUCUCCAGUCAAUUAGGGUUUUAUCAAUAAACUUGACUAAGAGUUUCAAGCUAUCUCAAAUUAAAACCUGCUGCUCAAAAACAAAGGGUUGAAUCUCAUAUUGCAAAAGGGCAAGUAUUAAAGAAUGCUAAAAAAAUAAAAUUAAGGGUUAUAAAAAUUGAGCAAACCAAAUUCAGAAACAUCUGAAAACAAUCCAAAUCCAAGGUGUCAGAAACGUAGAGAGAAGAGAAUUAUGUAACCUUGUAGGCACUAUUGUGCAGAUGUUCUGAUCAUAACAAGUAGUCUAUGUACUUCAUUUUCAUUUCUAUGUAGGCAUAAAACUUGCAAUCAUGAAUCACCACAACAUUGACAAUUAUCAUUUAUCAUUUAUGCUGAUAUCUGUUUCUACUUAUCUUUUAACUUUCUAAGCACAACAACAAGACAAUUGGGAGGAACGUGAGUAUGUGACAUUGUGACUUGUGACCAGUGACCAGUGACCACCCCAACACCAACAUGCACAUGUAAAGCGAGUCCAAAACCCUCUAUUGCUUCUGGGUAUCUGCAGUGG
rnacentral:lncRNA from 1 species